UCUAGCCUGGGUGACCUAGUAAGACCCUGUCUCAACAAAACCAAACCAAACAAGCCCUUCCCUGAGAGCAGGCCUCCUCUCUAUCAAGGGUGGGUGAUCACCUGCACAGCCAAGACCUUGGCUGACCUUCCAGGGGGUUGCCCCCACUUAACCGCCUCGUCCCUAAGGCCCACUUCUGCCAGGCCCUCCUGGCAGCUGCCUGCUUCUCCCUUCACCUGGUAACCAGACUUCGGGUGUUCACAGAGUCAGUCCUUCCAGCGGGUGACAACGCUGCUGCUGCCGGAAGCUUCCUGCACACUCCCCAGUGGCUAUUUUUAAAAACCUGCUGAGGUGUACGGGAUGAUGAUUAACCUUCAUUAAGCCCCCACAGCCUGCGGGUGCUGAGAAUAUUCGUGGGCCUUCACCUUUCCAGCAAGAACACAGAGGGGCCUCCCGCAGGGGAAAGUUUGGGGACGCAGGCUCCUCUCUGACCAUCUGGAGGGCCACCCAUUCCCGAGGAACUGUUCACUGAACAAGCAAGUAUGCAAGGGCAGAGGAUGAAUCAGACCCAGUCGGCCCCACUGAGGGCCCCUGUUGAAGAGUCAGAGGGGUCUGGCAGGGCCUAUGGGACGUCCCACCACCCCUCGCUUUCUCCCCACGCUGCUGCAGACGGGCUCUGCUCAGGACCAUUGUGAUGGGCAGGUCAACCUGACCAGAGGUCUCAGUUUCCUGCCUUCCUGGAAAGUGGGGAAAGGCUGAGAGGCCCCAUGCUGGGGGCGAAGCUAAUUCAUUAGUUACGCCUCAACAAGGACCAGGUGCCUGCAGUGCCAGCGUGAUUCAUCAUGAUGAUUGCCCCACUGCCAGCCUGCGUGGGCCUGGAACGCCAGCACAUUUUACCUUUACCCACUGAGAAGGGCCUGGUGGGAGGUGAAGGUACAGGAUCUGCCGAGAGCAAGAAAAAGACUCUGAGAAAGAAGACGGCUGGUCCUCCCUGCUCUCAGCCCCAGGAAGCUCUGCCAAGCUGGUGCCGGGGUGGAGAGGCUCAUGUGGGCUCAUGUGGUGCUGCUCGUGCGGAUGGAGCCCAAGAGGGCAGCCUGGCGCUGGGUGCCAGCCUGAGCAUGUGGCGAGGCUGGGCUGCUGAGCCUCCUCCUCCACAGCCAAUGUUCCCUCAGUGAAACUGCUUGGGGGCGGGGUGGGGGGGUAGGGACUCAUCCUCAUCCCAUUAGCCUCAUUGGGUAUUACCUACCUUUCUGGUCUCUGAGAGCCUUACCUCUUCCAAGAAGUCCUCCCGAAUGAGUAGAAGGGAGAGAGCUGGAUUGGAACUUCAGUGACAUCUGGGAGGAGCCUGAAGCCCCUCCGGUUGGGGCUGAGACUUCUAUACCCCAAGUCUUGUGUCUGGGUUCCACCUGGGUCCUCUACCUUGGCCUGGAUCCCUGCUUUCCUGUUGCCACUCUCCCAGGAUGGGGGUGCAUGGCUGGUUCCUGGUUCAGAGCAACAUCUGCCUCUGUGUCCCCCAACACCUGUCCGCCCCUGACACCUCUUGCCAUAUUAGAAUUGCUAUUGCUCUGCCCUUUCAUUCAUUUAUCCAACAAAUACAUAUUAUCUGAAAAAAA